UACGUAGGGUGCGAGCGUUAAUCGGAAUUACUGGGCGUAAAGUGUGCGCAGGCGGCUUCGCAAGUCGAGUGUGAAAUCCCCGAGCUUAACUUGGGAAUUGCGCUCGAAACUACGGAGCUGGAGUGUGGCAGAGGAAGGUGGAAUUCCACGUGUAGCGGUGAAAUGCGUAGAGAUGUGGAGGAGCACCGAUGGCGAAGGCAGCCUUCUGGGCCAACACUGACGCUCAUGCACGAAAGCGUGGGGAGCAAACAGG
rnacentral:rRNA from 1 species